rnacentral:rRNA from 1 species
AACGAACGCUGGCGGCAUGCCUAACACAUGCAAGUCGAACGAGACCUUCGGGUCUAGUGGCGCACGGGUGCGUAACGCGUGGGAACCUGCCCUUAGGUUCGGAAUAACUCCCCGAAAGGGGUGCUAAUACCGGAUAAUGUCUUCGGACCAAAGAUUUAUCGCCUUUGUAUGGGCCCGCGUUGGAUUAGCUAGUUGGUAGGGUAAAAGCCUACCAAGGCGACGAUCCAUAGCUGGUCUGAGAGGAUGAUCAGCCACACUGGGACUGAGACACGGCCCAGACUCCUACGGGAGGCAGCAGUGGGGAAUAUUGGACAAUGGGCGAAAGCCUGAUCCAGCAAUGCCGCGUGAGUGAUACAGGCAUUAGGGUUGUAAAGCUCUUUUACCCGGGAUGAUAAUGACAGUACCGGGAGAAUAAGCGCCGGCUAACUCCGUG